CUUGGUUAUUUACGCAAUUUGGAACCACCCUUUUACAUCCCGAACAAGGUCGUGAAACGAAUUAGCGCUGAUGAUACUCUCGCCAAAGCGGCGAUAGGGGAAAGUAAGUCAUAGCCAGGG
rnacentral:rRNA from 1 species